UUUCGUUUAUGGUAUAUCUCGUCGAUGUUAUCGGUACUCGUCCAUCCGUGUCUCCACUAUAAACCCAAAUACGGAAACCAGCAUCGAGAAGCUUGUGAAUGGUGGGCAACACAGAACUAGUUGAGUCAGUCCACCGCUGAAUCACACCACUGCAAGGAGUAUAAGGAUAUGAGAGUUUGGUAAGAUUAGCAUGAAGGGCCUUUUGAACAUCCUCUCUAUUGAAAAACUUAUUUGCAUAACCUUCAGUACAUGGAUCAUACCCCAAUGGAAGUUUAUGCCAUAACUCGUGGAUGGAAAAGAUUCGAGGAGGAAGAGCGAGAAGGGUUGAAAAG
rnacentral:misc_RNA from 1 species